rnacentral:pre_miRNA from 1 species
GAGUGCGAUGUUGGCAUGGUUCAAUCAACAAUCGAGUGGUCUCUGCAUAGCUUCCUUGCUAGCGUGGUGGCAUGCUGCUUUGCUUGAUCUGAUUGAGCCGUGCCAAUAUCGCAAGCUUCCUGCCUAGCCC